AUGAAGAACCCCCAAAGCCCUGCAAAUGUAGGAAGAGGAAGUGGCAAUGCAAUGCUAGAACUUAACAACAACAACAACAACAACAACAACAACAACAUCACAGUUGUGGAAAAGAAAAAGGUUUGGAUCAUUGAUGUUGCCAUCCCAGGUGACAGUCGCAUUGAUGAAAAACAACAGGAAAAACUCAGCCGCUAUCAGUACCUCAAGAUUGAACUUCAAAGACUCUGGCAGAAACCAGUGCAGGUAGUUCCGGUGGUGAUGGGCACAUUGGGUGCUGUGCCAAAAGAUCUCAGCCGGCAUUUGGAAACAAUAGACAUUGACAAAAUUACAAUCUGCCAACUGCAAAAGGCCACCCUACUGGGAUCUGCACGCAUCAUCCGAAAAUACAUCACACAGUCCUAGACACUUGGGAAGUGUUUGAUUUGUGAUUUUGUGAUACGAAAUCCAGCGUAUUUAUCUUGUUUGCUGUGUCAUACAAUAAUAACAACUUUAUUUAUACUCUGUUCCAUCCCUGAAGGACUCGGGGCAGCUUACACUGGGACAAGCCCAAAACAGUAUUACAUCAAUAAAAAUAGUAACACAAUAAAAUCACAAUGUAAUAACACAUCUUACAAAAGUUAAAAUAACUUAAAACAUAGACAGUAAUCCCAAUCUGUAGUCAAGCGUCAUAGGCCAUGGGCCAUUUUAAGGGGAAUGGAAAUCUGAAAAUGCAUAUUCUUCAGUGACUAGGGAUGGGAAUGACUAAAGGGAAUAAAGUGCAUGGAAUGGCCAGGCCUAGGUGAAGCAUGAACAAUCAAUUAUCAGUUAUGAGAAGGCACCUGUGAAUAUCCAAGUUUUCAGAUUCCUCCGGAAGGAGCCUAAGUAUUAAUUACCAUCACCUUAACUACUGCAGCACAGCAAUGAUCAAUAAUAUAUAUAAAGAUGAACCCACCUUUGCAUACAUGAUUGCUAAUUGCUGCGAUGCAAUAGUUAAGGUGAGGAUUUGGAGAAGAUGCAUUCCAAUCUUUACACCAUUAAAAAGUUUCAUACCCUCCAAGGAAGCAUCUAUUCUGUAAAAUUAAUGUAGUUUACACCUCUUCAUUUGCCAUGUCUUAAGGCUAUGGAAUCAUGAUAGUUGUAGUUAGGUAGGUAAAAGGUAAAGGUUUUCCCCUGACGUUAAGUCCAGUCAUGUCUGACUCUGGGGGUUGGUGCUCAUCUCCAUUACUAAGCCAAAGAGCUGGUGUUGUCCGUAGACACCUCCAAGGUCAUGUGGCCGGCAUGACUGCAUGGAGUGCCGUUACCUUCCCACUGGAGUGAUACCUAUUGAUCUACUCACAUUUGCAUGUUUUCGAACUGCUAGGUUGGCAGAAGCUGGGGCUAACAGCGGCUAUAACCUUCUCUUCCAAAAGUGUGCUAUGACCUCAUCACAUUGGCCACCAGAAUUGCCAUGGAACCCAUCUCCCCACACCCCGCAACACCUGACUUACCCCAAACCCAAUCCCACAGGGGCGGGAAGGGGAACACCUGCUAUCUGGCUUCCCCCUGUUGAUCCCUAUAUAACACGGCAAUCCUCCUCCUGUUGCCACCAUAGUGGCAUAUGCCUGUUCCUCUCCAUUUGCGCUAUGGAGCCCUGCCAAAGUAGCUCAAUGUUGUGGAAUGGGAACCAGCAGGCUCCGUGAGGCAAUUGGAGAGGAACCGGCAUAUGCCACCAAUUUUAAGCCCAUCUAUUCUGUAGUGGAUUCUGCAGAAGAUGUUUCAGCUGUACAAUCAACUAUUAUUUUUUUUAAUUUUAUUUUUUGGAGCUGGGAAAUCCUAGUUAUAGCAGUUGAGAUGCUGCUCUAGGUGACAUAUUGAGACAUGAAUGAGUGAUUUUUGGGCGAUACUUUGCCUUUAAAAUGGAGUCCAGGGGAGGGUUCAGGGUGAUCAAGCAAUUGCAAAAAGGCAUUGUGGAUAGUCUUCCCUCAUCUUUGUUCUUAAUAAGCUUGCUUUGCCAAUUUCAUCCAUACAUUUCUAGUGAAGGAUUUUUAUAUGCUGCUGGUUUAGAUCAGGAAUUAAGGCAAGCCAACUUAUUUCUGGAAACAACUGACCACAAGAUGGUAGCCUUGUACUUUUUAUUACUAGAGCAGUCAGCAACAAUUCAAAACAAACUAGAAUCGGAGAGAAUAUUUAUGAAGAACACUAAAAUUUGACCUUUUGUCGUGCUAAUAAAACUAUUAUUCAACCCUGGUCUUUGUUUUUAACUUGCAGACUUCUUGGCUACUUUUGUUUUUCAUUCUGAACUUUAAGAGAUACCUCCAUGCUAUAGUAUUCACUAACCAGAAUGUUGUAAACUUUAAAACUUGAGUCAGUAUUCUGAAAUGAAGGGCACUCAUGAUGUUCUAGAAGGUUAUUAUGUUCUGGAACAAAGAACACUACAUUCCAAAACAUAGCAAAUAUUAAAGAACUUGCUUGAACUCCUUAUCAAAUAGAACUAGGACCAUAUUCCAUACCUCGUGUGCCAGAGCUUGGAAAUAUAACUUUAUUGGCAUGUUAUUCCCAGAACCUCCGAGCAAAUGAAGUUGCUGCAAAAUAUAACUUGCCCAAACUUCCAAUCUUGGAUGUUGAGAAAUUCCUAAAUUCCUAUUUGGGCAAUAAGGGGAGUCCUAAAACCACAGUGAGACUCAUAUAGUUCUAAUUCUUUUUUUAUAUGAUCAGUGUUGUUAGGACGACUGUUCAAAUAAACACAAUAACUUUUAAAGCAUGUUUUUAUUUAGGAUUCUCAGCCAGAGCACUAUAGUGCUUCACCAAGCAGCAGACCUUAGGAUUCCAUAAAAUGUUGACAUGACAGUAAAAGUGGAAUAUAGUACUAUAAUGACCUUGUCACAUGGCCUCCAGAAUCGUCACCUGUCAUGGUGAAUCUAGUGACCCUUGUCAGGGGUGUGUGGGGAACCCGUUGCUGAUCCCACUGGGGGAAGCAUCGACUGCUCAGGUUUCCCCAUUGCUUCCUAGGCAACACCAG
ensembl:lncRNA